GCAUAUCAAUAAGCGGAGGAAAAGAAAAUAACAAUGAUUUCCCUAGUAACGGCGAGUGAAGAGGAAAGAGCUCAAAGUUGGAACCUGUUUGGCCUAGCUAAACCGGAUUGUAGACUGUAGAAGUGUUUUCCAGGCAAGCCGAGUAAAUAAGUCCUUUGGAACAGGGCAUCAUAGAGGGUGAGAAUCCCGUCUUUGGCUUGAGCAUUUGCCUUUUGUGAUACGCUUUCAAAGAGUCAGGUUGUUUGGGAAUGCAGCCUAAAUUGGGUGGUAAAUCUCACCUAAAGCUAAAUAUUGGCGAGAAACCGAUAGCGAACAAGUACCGUGAGGGAAAGAUGAAAAGAACUUUGAAAAGAGAGUUAAACAGUAUGUGAAAUUGUUAAAAGGGAACCGUUUGGAGCCAGACUGGCUUGUCUGUAAUCAAUCUAGGCUUCGGCCUGGAUGCACUUGCAGGCUAUGCCUGCCAACGACAAUUUGACUUGAGGGAAAAAACUAAGGGAAAUGUGGCCCACUUGUGGGUGUUAUAGUCCCUUAGAAAAUACCUUGGGUUGGAUUGAGGAACGCAGCGAAUGCUUUUUGGCGAGUUUUCCAGGAAGGUUUUCUGAGGUACUACGGUAUCAAGGUUGAUCUUUUUGGUUAUACUUCUAUUCGCUUAGGUUGUUGGCUUAAUGACUCUAAAUGACCCGUCUUGAAACACGGACCAAGGAGUCCACCAUUAGUGCGAGUAUUUGGGUGCCAAACCCAUAUGCGUAAGGAAACUGAUUGAUACGAAUCCAUUAAGGAGGCAGUAUCGUCCGGCGCUGACGUUUUAUACUGAAUUGACCGAGACAAAGCACUAAUGAUGGGACCCGAAAGAUGGUGAACUAUGCCUGAAUAGGGUGAAGCCAGAGGAAACUCUGGUGGAGGCUCGUAGCGAUUCUGACGUGCAAAUCGAUCGUCAAAUUUGGGUAUAGGGGCGAAAGACUAAUCGAACCAUCUAGUAGCUGGUUCCUGCGA
rnacentral:rRNA from 1 species